rnacentral:lncRNA from 1 species
UUGAUUAGUUCAUAGUUCAUCAAAUAACUCUAUACUCUUUUUGGGGGGGUCACUUCAUUGGAAGAAGAGAAAGCUGUAAAGGAAGUGAAGCCCAAAGCAGAGGUCAAGAAAAAGGCAGCAUCAACACCAAAAGCCAAACAAGCUAUUAAAGUUGUGGGAAAACCUGCUCCAGAUGAGAAGAAAAUGGCAGAAGAAACCAAAGAGAAAGCAGCCGAGGCACCAGCAAGCAAGAUACCGUACUUCCAGUGUGUUUUAAUGAGCUCAAAAUCCAGCCAAUAUCCACUGCGGCCCAUGUCCCCUGCUAUGAAUCCAGCUAUUAACCCCACCAUGAUGAGAGCCAUGAUGGAGCAGAGGGCCGCAUUACUGCAGCAGAAAGCCCGUGCAGCUGGCCAGUAACUGGACGACAGACCCCUGGCAGGUGCAAACUGCUUAUGAACUGCUAUAAAAACAUAGUGCUGCUGGGCUCUCAAGAGCUAUCUUCCUAAACCAUCAGAAACUUUGGUUAGAAACAAAUAAUGAGUAGAGGUCCCUGGUUUCUCAAUGGACGCUCUCCAUUCUUUCAUAAGUGAUUUUUGAAUCUGACCAGUUUCUCAAUUUUGACAAAAAAGAGAUAUAAAUAAAUUCUAAUGUACAUUUUGAAAUAUAUUUAAUGCAUAAACACC